rnacentral:rRNA from 1 species
CAGUAGCCGCGGUAAAACGUAGGUGGCAAGCGUUGUCCGGAAUUAUUGGGCGUAAAGGGCUCGCAGGCGGUUUCUUAAGUCCGAUGUGAAAGCCCCCGGCUCAACCGGGGAGGGUCAUUGGAAACUGGGAAACUUGAGUGCAGAAGAGGAGAGUGGAAUUCCACGUGUAGCGGUGAAAUGCGUAGAGAUGUGGAGGAACACCAGUGGUGAAGGCGGCUCUCUGGCUUGUAACUGACGCUGAGGCUCGAAAGCGUGGGGAGCAAACAGGAUUAGAUACCCCAGUAGUCCCUGUCUCUUAUAC